GUCGAGCGGGGAAGUGUAGCUUGCUACCUAACCUAGCGGCGGACGGGUGAGUAAUGCUUAGGAAUCUGCCUAUUAGUGGGGGACAACAUUCCGAAAGGAAUGCUAAUACCGCAUACGUCCUACGGGAGAAAGCAGGGGAUCUUCGGACCUUGCGCUAAUAGAUGAGCCUAAGUCGGAUUAGCUAGUUGGUGGGGUAAAGGCCUACCAAGGCGACGAUCUGUAGCGGGUCUGAGAGGAUGAUCCGCCACACUGGGACUGAGACACGGCCCAGACUCCUACGGGAGGCAGCAGUGGGGAAUAUUGGACAAUGGGCGGAAGCCUGAUCCAGCCAUGCCGCGUGUGUGAAGAAGGCCUUAUGGUUGUAAAGCACUUUAAGCGAGGAGGAGGCUACUCUAGUUAAUACCUAGAGAUAGUGGACGUUACUCGCAGAAUAAGCACCGGCUAACUCUGUGCCAGCAGCCGCGGUAAUACAGAGGGUGCGAGCGUUAAUCGGAUUUACUGGGCGUAAAGCGUGCGUAGGCGGCUGAUUAAGUCGGAUGUGAAAUCCCUGAGCUUAACUUAGGAAUUGCAUUCGAUACUGGUCAGCUAGAGUAUGGGAGAGGAUGGUAGAAUUCCAGGUGUAGCGGUGAAAUGCGUAGAGAUCUGGAGGAAUACCGAUGGCGAAGGCAGCCAUCUGGCCUAAUACUGACGCUGAGGUACGAAAGCAUGGGGAGCAAACAGGAUUAGAUACCCUGGUAGUCCAUGCCGUAAACGAUGUCUACUAGCCGUUGGGGCCUUUGAGGCUUUAGUGGCGCAGCUAACGCGAUAAGUAGACCGCCUGGGGAGUACGGUCGCAAGACUAAAACUCAAAUGAAUUGACGGGGGCCCGCACAAGCGGUGGAGCAUGUGG
rnacentral:rRNA from 1 species